CUGAACGCUGGCGGCGUGGUUAAAGCAUGCAAGUCGAGCGGACCCGCAAGGGUUAGCGGCGAAAGGGUGAGUAAAAGUAUCCAACGUACCCCGAGGUGUGGGAUAGGCAGGGGAAACCCGGCAUAAUACCACAUGAUCUCUACGGAGCAAAGAUUUAUCGCCUUGGGAGCGGGGAUACACCUAUCAGGUAGUUGGCGGGGUAACGGCCCACCAAGCCGAAGACGGGUAGCAGGUGUGAGAGCACGGCCUGCCACAUCGAAACUGAGACACUGUUCGGACUCCUACGGGAGGCUGCAGCGACGAAUCUUCCGCAAUGGGCGAAAGCCUGACGGAGCGACGCCGCGUGUGGGAUGAAGCGGCUUUGCCGUGUAAACCACUGUCAGGGAAUAGAAACAUUGAUCAUUUCCAAAGGAAGGGGCGACUAACUCUGU
rnacentral:rRNA from 1 species